UACGAAGGUGGCAAGCGUUAUUCGGAUUUACUGGGCGUACAGGGAGCGUAGGCGGUUUGGUAAGCCCUCUGUGAAAUCUCCAGGCUUAACCUGGAAAAGUCGGAGGGGACUGCUGGGCUAGAGGACGGGAGAGGAGCGCGGAAUUCCCGGUGUAGCGGUGAAAUGCGUAGAGAUCGGGAGGAAGGCCGGUGGCGAAGGCGGCGCUCUGGAACGUUUCUGACGCUGAGGCUCGAAAGCGUGGGGAGCAAACAGG
rnacentral:rRNA from 1 species